AAAUACCAAUUCAUUUUAAGUAAAAAACAUUAUUAUUUCACUAUUUAAUUAAUUAUUUCAUGGUCCUUGUGUUGCAGUGGAUCAUGAAUUUAAUUUAUCUGUCAACCUCGCCCGUCAAAGUCGGUGGGCGGGACUAACGCGAAUCUAGUCUAAUCCAUUGCUUUGGUCUGCCUUGAAACCGGAAGUAGAAGAAGCCUUUCUAAACAUGGCGGCUGUGUUGAGGGAGGAUCGCUGUGAACUUUCUAGAGAGUUCGUGAGAGAUAUUUUAGACCUUUCAGAGCAUGUAGCGUGUAAAGCAGAGGAAUUUAUUGAAGUUGUUGGAGUUAUUUCCGCACUUUCCGACCAAGAUGUUGACCGUAGAGUGACUGCAAAUUUAGAAGAAGUACUCCGCCGCUUUUCUGGUACCAGGGCGCAACAGGAGCACACACAAGGACCAGGGCGUUUGGCAUACCGAGGGAAGUUCUGGAACAUCACGUUCUUUGUGGAUUUACCAGCCUGUCAAAUUGCAGCGAUGCUCGGAGGGCUUUUCCUUUAGGACCUACUCGGCGCGGCACGGCUCGGCUCGUCUUUGUUUAGCCGCGAUUCCACAAGCAUCUAUUCGGCACGGUAUGGCUCGUUUCCAGGUACUAUUUUCAGCACCUUCUCGGCUGAGGUUCCCAGCGAGCUGAGAGAGCCUAUAGUGUGACGUCUACAUAGUGCAGGCCACUGAUUGGACGGGGAGUGACGACACACAGAGCAACUCCAGCACGAAAACAAAACCCUGCAUUAAAAAACAACUGUAAACAGCGACGGUGUGCAUUGCUCUUCACGGAACUCUCUGUUCUUCAUAAUUUUAAUAUGACAGCCAGACCUGUACCGUGGGUGAAUGAAGAGGUCGAGACUUUUCUGUCUUUGGUGGCGGACCAAAGAAUACAGAGGGAGCUGGACGGAGAAAGUUUAUCAGGAAGUCUCUGAGCGGAUGGCCGCCCACAUAUACAGUAGACUGUAUAUAAAGAGGACAACGAAGGAGUGUAGGGAGAAGCUGAAAAAGCUAAAAAGUGACUAUCGGUCCACCAAGGACCACAACGGCCGGCGUGGGUCAACCAGGAGGUGUUGGAAGAGGUUUAAUGAACGCUAUUUAAUGGCACCGCACCGCCAGCACCAGGAGGGAGACUCAGCUGCUGCAUUAUUGGAGACGUUCGAGGACGAAUCUCUUUCCACAUGCGAAGCCUACUCCACCUCCGUCGCGGAGCCCCCAGCUCCCCUGCCUCUUCUCCGACACCAGCAGCGGCUCCUCUCCAGCACCAGCUUCGACACCAGUACCAACUCGGACACCGACCCUGUCAACAUCAACCUCCAGCACGUAACAGCAACGUCUUAUCACUGGCAAGAGGAAAAGAGGCCACAGAAAAUUGGACCUUCCUAGCGUACUUGUGGAGAUGCAGGCUGAGGAGGAGUGGAGUCAUGCCCAGCAUGAUGAGAACAUCUGGUUGCUCCUCAGCGAGACAAGAGAAAAUGAAGCGGCCUUGCAGCGGGAGGAGAUGGCCCAGAAUGCUGCCUUCAACCAGUCAUUCCUGGGUGUGCUGGGGCAGCUGGUGCAGGCAGUGGGCAGCCGGCGAGUGUGAUUUUUGGUGGCUGGCAAACUGAGAGAACUUUAGCGCUGUUCCAGACUAAUUUGACAAAAGAGACACUGCAUUGUGUUUUCUUGGCCAUUUGCAACGUCUUGUGUGCACCGAUGAACAAAUACUUAUGAUGGUCAAGAGAGGAUGAACUUGGCAACCUGGAAAAGGGCUUUCAAGACAAAGCUGACUUCCCUGAAGGCAUCGAUGGCGCACACACUCCCACCAGUGCACCUAUACUCCAAAGAAACAGCUGCAUAAACAGGAAAGAUCAGAGGCAGGUGAUGGUCCAGCAAGAGACAGAUUCAGUGGUGCAGGAGUGGAAGACUUGGGUGGUGCAGUGAGAAGGCUGAGUGGAGCUUGAGGAUUUAAUGCACUAACCUGUUCCAAAGGGCUCCGUGGGACAGAAAUGGGAGCAGUGAAGCCCCAACACAAACGCAACACAACAAUGGACAUGGAGGCAAUGGUUCACCUGCUGCUUGGUCUGUGGCUUUCUGUCAGAUUCAGAGUAAUAGAAGAGUCGGAGAAAGCUGAGAGCGGCGAGUGGAAACACUCAGGAGACACACAGGAGAGUUUAGGAGGCGAUGCAGCAGUAUCAAGCUGAAGACAAGAGGAUGGCUCUCUUACAAGACUUCAUGGGGUUUACCUGACACAGCAGCACAUGAGCCUGCAGUGGCACAAGGUGCUGGAUGUUCUCAUCAUGCUGGGCAUGACUCCACUCCUCCUCAGCCUACAUCUCCGCAAGUACACAAGGAAGGUCCAAGUUUCUGUGGCCCCUUUUCCUCUUGCCUAGACCAAAGACAGAAAAGUGAUCAGAAUCAGCUUUAAUGGCCAAGUAAUUACACAACAUACAAGGAAUUUGGUUUCGGCUGUUGGUGUCACACUAGGAAUAUGGAAGAGAAUAAAAAAAAAAGAAAGAAAGAAAUUAUAGAAAGAGGAACAGGGAGGGAAAAUAAAUAGUAGUAAAAUUAAAUAGAACACAAUAUAGACAGGAUUGUACAGCUAGACUGGAAUAUAUGAACACAUUAGCAAAAUGAUAAUUGCAAAAAACACAGUAGUGCAAAAAGCAGAGAAUGCAGCUGGCGCAAAAAAACACCAUAGUAUACUAUGUCGACGAAAAAUGUGAUUUUUCAACAUGUUGUAAAAACGUGCCAUAUGAUGAAAUAAUGUAAAGGAGGCUGUGAAAAACACCAUGGUAAGGUUUUCUUUGAAAAAAAAAUCAUCACGAAUUUUGGUGCAAAAAAAAACGCCUUACUAUACUAUGUCGAAAAAAAUGCAACUUUUCAAACAUGUAGUAAAAACGUGCCAUACGAUGAAAUAAUGUAAAGGAGGGCGUGAAAAACACUAUGGUAAGGUUUUCUUUGAAAAAAAAAUCAUCAUGAAUUUUGGCGCAAAAAAACGCCUUACUAUACUAUGUCGAAAAAAAAGGCGAUUUUUCAAACAUGUUGUAAAAACAUGCCAUAUGAUGAAAUGAUGUAAAGGAGGCCGUGAAAAACACUCCCGAAAGGUUUUCUUUGAAAAAAAAAUCAUCAUGAAUUUUGGCGCAAAAAAAUGCCUUACUAUACUAUGUCGAAAAAAAAUGCGAUUUUUCAAACAUGUUGUAAAAACGUGCCAUAUGAUGAAAUAAUGUAAAGGAGGGCGUGAAAAACACUCCAGAAAGGUUUUCUUUGAAAAAAAAUCAUCAUGAAUUUUGGCGCAAAAAAAAAAGCCAUUUUUUUUGGCAUUUUUUUUAAAUAAAGUUUUGUCUUUUGUUUUUCCUCUCGUGAAGGCUUCUGGUGAAGUCUAUGAGGGACAUCAGAGCAGAUGGUGCCAAGUAUGAUGAGCUACUUAAGUGUCACAGCAGUGAUUCUACACAAGAGGGAGAUUCUCCAGCUGAGAAGAUUAAAAAGGUGCAGUUGUUGUGGUCGACCAUUGAUGGAAUGCUGUCGACGAUCAAAGAGGAGAAGAAUGCAGUGGAAAGUGUUUUGAAGGGGGAUGCAGAUCAAUACAUUUUGGACGGGAUGGAUGGAGUCCUCAGAAUUCCUCGUUGUCUGCUGGAGAGAAUUGAAAAGCUUCCACAUCAGUUAAGUUCAGGGAAUGUGUAUGAAGGUGGCCAGCUGAACCUCCUGUGUGUGAUGGAGCUGAUGAACUAUGCAUCACAGCUUCUGAAAGAACAUGUUGUAAAAGCGUGCCAUAUGAUGAAAUAAUGUAAAGGAAGCCAUGAAAAACACUUCAGAAAGACUUACUUACUUCUCUGUCUACUUUUCUUACUCCAUGUAGGUUUCCCAGAGACUUUGGGUUGAGGAGGAAGUGGAAGUUUGUUGGCUUAGACCUGGUGUCAUUCCAUCAGUGUUUAACUUCCCGGCUCAUCUUGGAAGAGUAUGUGCCAGAAAGACCACGACCAAGCAGCCUUGAGAUCUUAGACAGCGUCUCCCUCAGACAUCCACCAACCACUGGAACACAUCUCCAAAGUUCUGCCGGGCCAGCUCAGCUUCCCCUCAGAAGAAGUGCUGCCACCUGCCAGAUGAAGGAGCCUUUUGAGAGGCAGCUGGCAUCGUGAUUGGACUGUACUUUGGUCUGUUCCAAUCCAGCUUCAGCUCCAGAGACGGCAGGCGGGACGAGUCAACGGAGGCCAGGUGGACGAAGGCAUGCAGCUGAGUACAAUCCAGAAAACAACAGAGGAGGAGUGCAGCGGCCCAGGGCCAGAACAACCAGAGUAGCAUCGUAUGUCUCUUAGAAAACAUCAUAGUAUAGCCUUUGGGAUGAAAAAACACCAUCAUAUACAUCGUAUAUUGUACAAAUAACAAGUCAAAGGAAAGAGACAUACAUUGUAGAACUGUAGUAAUUGUGGGCUGAGUGAUUUACUGAUUAUCAGUAUUUUAUUUUUUACUGAUUUACGGUAAUAAAUACAUUUAAAAAUGGUGCUA